ACCCCCAUCGAAAAUGCGACCAUCUGGGUCGCAGAAACAUUCAGACAAGUACUGUCAUUUCCAUAGAGAUCACGGUCAUAACAUGGAGGAUUGCUACCAGCUCCGUGAUAAGAUCGAGGCACUUAUCCACCAGGGUUUGCUAAGUCGGUUUGUUCAUGGUCAAGCCUACAGAGGGGAGCUCGAGGGAUAGAGCUUGGAGCCGCGCGACAGGCAGAACGACAAUCAUCCCAUCGCGGGCACCAUCAACGUCGUAGCCAUGUAUCCCACAUGCUAGCAGCCCCUUGACCUCGGGGGGCAGGGAAGAGGCCUCAUCCCCAAUAGCCCGGGUCGCUACAACCCCUGGACGGAACUUUAGCCCCUCCAGGUUAGGGAUUUUUAUCCCACUGUGCUGUCAAUAAAAUCACCCUCUGGGACUUCUUCAAGGCGUCUCUGAAAUGUCUUAAUGGACUCGACAUGCCUCGGUUGUCUCCACGAUAUGAGUUACGUAACACCGAAUCGACA
rnacentral:lncRNA from 1 species